rnacentral:lncRNA from 1 species
CUCUUCUGUCAGGUUCUGUGUCACCUGGAGUGUUGACACCUUUUCCUGGUGUCAUUUCUCACAAAGCAAUCAGAUUUUUUUUUUUUAAUAUUUUAUCUUUGGUGCUUUUCGGGAUGUGUGGAAGGAGUGGGGUGGGAUAGCCCUGCAGGAAACCAUUUAAAGAAUGUAGAUAAUACCAAUCUGUGUUGACUCAUCCUGUGGGAGAGUAAUGUGCAGCCGAGCAUCCUAGUAAGUUAUUUAUCAUGCCCUGAGGCUUGAUGGAAUACAGCUUCCUUGAUGAAGAGAUAAAAAGGAACGACAUAAAAGCAAGGUUUAAAAAGAAAAGACUCAUUAAAAAUACAAAAUCCGACUAGGGAGAGAAUGGAGUUGGAAAGAAAUGGAAGUGCAGAGUGAUGGAAAAAACGAGAAGGAUUUGGAGAGCACACUUUUUUUCUGCCGUGACAGGCCACAGCUGGGGGAUCCGAAUGGAACUAUAGAAGAUGACAAUCCUCUUGACCUCUGAAUGGCCAGAUCACACCACAACAGCACAUGCAGGAACAUCGAGUUGGGAGACUCUUGAAGUGACCAGCAGUGGCCCAGAGUGACAUGUUCUGGAGGCCAAGUGACAGCACACCCAGAUCCACAGAAGACAGCGCUUCCAAACUCUGGCCAUCACAGACUGCUGAACAGCCCAUGAAAUCAUGGCACACCCACAGACUUCCUUCCUGAGUGGGGAGGAGCUAAGUACCUGCUACCAAAAACGGAACGGAAAAUGAAUCUAACUACCAUCUACUGCUGGUCCCUCUAUCUGAUUCAUAGAGAUGUUUAAACAGCCACAUGUGCUUCAGUGAAGUCACACAUAUCCCUGAAGUAAGUUAACCUAUUCUCCCGGGGAAGAGUCCUCUCUAUAGACAAAGUGCUGGAUCUGGACACAUUUGAAGAGCUCAGCUCCCUUGGAGUUGUAGCCCAGUUCUGGAUAGUAUGGGAAUUAGGGGAGAGCAUGGCCCCAUGGCAGCGAUGGGGCAGGAAUCCAGCACUGAAUCUUGCCAUGGGCCCUGACUUGGAGGAGGACACAUGGGCCUGAGAGGAAGAAGAUUGGAGAAAACAAAAAGCAUGGCUCAGGUUUAGGAGAUGAGAUCACAAAAUGCCAUCCCAGACAACAUGAAACAGUCACCGGCCCAGAUGGACUAUUAGAGCUCCUCACCAUUUUCAGUUUGAAGCUGUACCCCCCCCCCCCAAUGCCAUGGGGUUCCGGUGGAGUGGGGGGGACCCUCUAGGAGGCAGUUACAAAAGACAGGAUUAGUGACCCACCAGUAAGAGCUGUGAGUGAUGACAUCUCUCUGCUCAAUGAGGAUCUAGCAAGACAACACCGAUCUACAAACCAACAGAAUGCUCUGACCUGUCGCCAUUUCUGCCAGUGCCUAGCUAGCUUCCUGAAUUGUGGGAGUAAAACAUAAUUAUGUUUACUUUAAUCCACCAAGUUGCUGAAUUAUGUUAUUUCAGCCAGAGCAGCCAUUGACUUUUCAUCAAAUGAACUUUAUACAACAAGC